rnacentral:lncRNA from 1 species
CAUAGAAGCUGAGACACUGCUCUUUCUGGUGAUUGGAGUGAGGAGGCAGCUUUCCUCUCAGGCAUGUUUGCCUGCCUCGAUUUACUAAAGAACUGCUGGGAGGAAGUGUUGACACAGCCAUACUGAUAAAAAUAUGUCUGGUGGACUAGCAUAACCUAAAUGGAGUUGGAAUUUGAGCUGGUUGGAGACCCCGGAGACCUCUGGAGGGGCUUGUGGAAGAGGGAGGCUGGUACAGGAAGUCGGACCCAGCCUCAGCCUGGAGGUCAGAGUGAGAAGCAUGACCACCGUCUGUCAUGGGGUUCACUCCAGCCCUAGAGCCCUGGGAAAAAGCAUCACCUGUGGAGAGGAAGCCUGCCAAUAAACCACAUGGCUGUGAACCCAGAUGAAGGCCUCACUGUAUCUUUCUGGCUCAGCAUGCCUUCAGAGGCUCUGAAAGUAGUCAGAAGGCAGAAGUGUGAAGAUUUCUCCAUGAUGUCAUCAAUAAGGCAGCACUGACCUCAGAACCUAAUUCAUCUUGAGCAUCGUACAUAUCAAGCAACACUUUCUCUUCUUGCUGAGGAGAGAGAAAAUGUAUUUUCUGCUGAUUGUGUCCAGAGGUAACUCCUCCAAAAAGAAACAGACAGACAAACAAAAAAACCCCACAUUCUGUAGCCAAAGAAAAUGGGAUGAAUUUGAGGCAGCCAAAACAGCCAAUGUUCACUCCCCCACUUUCACAGAAGAUGCUAAUUUUAAGGUAAGAAAGGAAAAUAAAGCCAAUUCCACAUCAGGAAGAUCACCAUUUACCAAGUAUAAUGGAUAUCAGAUUGGAAAUUGUAUGUUUUUGAAAGUAUGA